GCGGUGGUGGUUCACUGGUAGAAUUCUUACCUUCCACGCGGGAGACCUAGGUUCCAGUCCCGGCCAGUGCA
rfam:Loxodonta africana unplaced genomic scaffold scaffold_49, whole genome shotgun sequence.